AUCCUUUGGUGGCUGAUAAGUGUGACAACUAUGUUUUCACACCUGGUGUGAGGUGCGCCUCCCACACACCCUGUUAGGACAUGGGUAUGUGAUAUGACAUGUCUGAUG
rnacentral:snoRNA from 1 species